CGGUGGAUGAUGUGGCUCAAUUCGAGGCUACGCGAAGAACCUUACCUAGUCUUGACAUGUUUAGGAAUCCCUCUGAAAGGGGAGUCGCCUUAACAGGUGUGACGAGCGAAACCCUUGUCCUUAGUUACCAGCGGGAUGUCAAGUCUCAUGGCCUUUAUGACUAGGCUGCAUACAUGGCACACACAAGGGAUGCAAACCCGCGAGGGCCAGCACCCCAAAAAAUGUGCCUCAGUUCGGAUUGUAGUGCAACCCGCCUACAUGAAGCUGGAAUCGCUAGUAAUCGGGGUCAGCAUACCGCGGUGAAUGUGUUCCUGAGCCUUGUACACACCGCCGUCAAGCCACGAAAGUGGGGGGGGCCCAACAGCGCUGCCGUAACCGCAAGGAACAAGGCGCCUAAGUCAACUCCGUGAUUGGGACUAAGUCGUACAAGGU
rnacentral:rRNA from 1 species